AUACCAACAGAACGCACGGUAUAACCGGCAACACGGAAGCCAUCUGCCCUGAAGACAUCUGCAUGCAAACAGAUGACUAGCAGAAUAUCUGUCAGGAAAGCCAGAAGAACUCAGUUUUGGAAGUGUUUUUUGGGAGCUAAAGAAUGGAUGGAGGUCAAGGAAUGGAAGUUUAAAGAAAAAUGGAGGUCAAAGAGUGGAGGUUAAAAAACCUGGAAGCUCAAAUUGAAGGCCAUUUUUUGGAUGCUACAGAAUGGAGCCUGAAGGAUGGAGGUUGCAGAUGGAGAACACUUUUUGGAUGCUGUUCACAGGAGGUCCAACAAUGGAAGCCAAAGAGUGGUGGCUGAAAAAGUAGAUGCCAUUUUUUGUGUGAGGAGGAAUGGAAGCUGAACAAUGACAGCUGGAAAACUGGAGGCUAAAGAAUGGAAAUCACAGGAGGGAGGGCAUCUUUUGGAAACCAUUUGUUGGAGGCCUGACCAUGGAAGCCAAAGAAUGGCUGAAGGACUGAAGGAUAAAAUGGACUCCACGCCCAAAUUGAAGAUUUUUGUGAUGUUGCUUUCUCUGGCUACUUUCACAGCCAUGGUGAUAAUGAAUGCUGGAAAUGCCACUGGGAUUUUCAAAGGUCUGUUCCGGACAACGCCUGGCAACAUCUCAGAGAAGUACAGCACCGACUUCACACCGGCUGGCUGGACUUUCCUCAUCUGGAAUGUCAUCUAUGCCUGGCAAUUGGCAUGGCUCCUGUAUGCACUGUCAGGGAUUUGCCGAAGAAAUGAACUUGGAUUUUUCUUCCUGAAGCCAGACUUGCUGCCAAUACCUUUUUACAUGGCAUGGAUUCUGAAUAAUGGCCUCAAUGUCGGAUGGCUGUUUCUAUGGGACAGAGAAUACCUCCUUCCAGCCCUGCUGUUGCUUGCAGCCCUUACUUUUACCACAGGUGCUGCUCUCUUCAUUUCACACAGAGCCUUGAGUAUCCAUUCCACAUGGUUCAUGAAGGGUCACCAAGCUGACCUCUGGCUCAUCCGGAUCCUGGUGCAGAAUGGGCUGGCACUGUAUACCACAUGGACCACCAUCGCCACUCUGCUGAACUUUGCUGUUGUGUUGAUCUACAAGUGGGAUGUGUCCAAUGAGACAGCAACAACUGCCUCUCUGAGCAUCCUUACCCUCAUACUUGUCAUGUGGUUCUGUCAGGAGAACUUCUUUCUUGAUAAGUACGUCCGUUAUAACCUCACGAUCUACCCAGUGAUCAUAAUAGCUCUGACUGGCAGCAUGUGCAAGGACUUCUCAGUUUCCUCCCCAACCACCAACGGCGUUUUUAUAGUUGUACUGCUGGCACUGACUUGUUUCAUCUUUGCUGUCCGGUUGGCAUUAGUCAUAUGGAAACACAGUAAUGAACCACUGGAAGCAUCAACACCACCACAGCCAUCAAGCACAGUGGCCUGA
rnacentral:lncRNA from 1 species